GAAAUAAUGUGAAAUCCAUUCAGGGAACUGCAGAAAAAUCAUAGAAACACUUCGUCAUCGAUCUUGCAUGAUACUUGCAGUGUGUCACUUUGUUUUGCGUGAACCACUUUAUUUGCACUGGAUUAACAAGGUUGCUAUGUUGGUUUGCAUCUUUCUUAUCUUGGUUUUGAUGAUCGUCAUUAGAAUACAAUGGAAGGAAGAAUGGGAUGCUAUACACUUGUCUCUUCAAGUGAGUUUUCUCAAUAAUUUAACUGAUGUAACUAAUUUUUCUUUGAAAGUGGUCGUCAUACAAAUGCUGUUUUUAAUUUCAUCUUUGGAGCCACAGUAGUUGAGCCCUGACAGGUUUGUGCAAGCUAAUUCCCUCAAAUUUUGCAGUUUCCCAUUGGCGCCAUGGACUUGGGUCGAAAUUGAUUUUGGGUAAAAUAUUGGGCAUGCAACUAAAUGGAAGUUUCUUUUCAUCCUAAUAUGUAACAAAACUAUCAUAUAUCUAUUAAAACUGUGGGUGGGUGGGUGUGUGCGUGUCAGUUUGCAUGUGAAACGUAUCUCCUCGAAAAUUAGACGCCGAAACUGGAAAAAUUUUACAUAUUUCAGUAGAGAUUUUCGAAAUCCACUCCUCUGUACAUUUGGUAUAUUAUUUUCGUGACUUUUUAAUUAAAAUUAGCUCUUGAAGUAAAAGUGCAAGAGUGUCCUUGAUGGUGAUAUCACUCCCGGAGCAGCAGUGGCCUCUGGUUUUAUUAUCCACCAUUGGCUCCAAUCUCACCUUUAGGAAAAUUGUGCCAUCUGGCGGUCAUACAAUGUAUUACUGCGCACAAAGGCAAUUGCUUUGAGAGAGACUAGCAAUUUAAAAAAAGGGGGAAUUAUGUCUCUGAGAGUGGGAGUUCCCAAUUUAUUUAGAGAUAUCUUUUUUGCUGAAGAGAUGUGUCCAUUAGUGAGGAGGAGAAUGAAUGAUCAUUUUUCAUCACACCAAUAACCCUACUCAUUUUACCUUUGAUGAGAAUUCAGGGAUUGCUGACUGACCCGCUGAGUUACUCCAGCACUUUGUAUCUUUUUUUUGUAGAUUCUGUCUGAAGAAUGGUCCCGACCCAAAACAUCACCUUUCCAUGUUUUCCAAAGAUGCUGGCUGACCCAUUGAGUUACUCCAGCAUUUUCUGUCCUUUUUGUGUAAACCAGCAACUGCAAUUCCUUGUUGCUACAUUUUAAAUUGACUAUCUCUUCUAUCAGCUGUGCUGUUAUUAUUGGAGACACGAGGAAUUGCAGAUGCUGAUUUACAAAAAAAACCCAGUGCUGGAGUAACUCAGCGGGUCAUUGAACAUCUCUGGAGGACAUAAAUACUCUAGGUUUUGGGUCAGGACACUAACUCCAGCACUAUGUGUCUUUUAUUAUUGAAUUGAUUCUGUGUCUGAGUAGAGCCAUCAUCUUUUAAUGUAGCUUCCUACUGCACCGUCCAGCUCCUUGUCUCCAAUGACCCACCAUGAACUUUUGAGUCCACUUUCCUGUUAGUGUUCAAAGCUGAACUGCUUCAGCAACGAAAAGAGUGCAAUCCCAAGGAUUUUUAAAUUCUUAAUCACAUAUGCUGGACAAGAUGACAAAAUGUUACAUGUGCCAAUCAAACUAGAAGAAAGGAUCACAAGAAAAGCAUAUAGUGAAUUGACAUCUAGUAUUUCUAGACCAACUAUACACAGAAAUAAGUUUAAACUAGUUUACGCACCCUUUUUCAUUCAAAAACACUCCCACUUUAUCGUGUGAAUCUUUCCCAAUUAGCUGCAAAUUGCAAGUUCAUAAAUGCCCUUUGCUCCCAAUUGCACAGACUUUGGGUUGUGGCUCAUUAUACUGUAAAGGGCCUGUCCCACUUGGGCGUCAUUUGCACGUCAUUUACACGACAUCCUAAAAAUUGGGUGGCGUGACUUGCGCAUGGCGCGUGGUGAGGCGUGGUGGCGUGUGCAGUGGAGCACGGUUACUCGCGGCGCCCCAGGAUUUUGGGAUGCUCAAAAUCCUUGGGCGCCAACUGCGUGACCUAUCCCUUGCGCACGCUGACGUACUGAUGGCGUACGCUGAUGUACUGAUGGCGUACGUGUAGCGCGUGGUGAUGCAUGGUUACGCACGGUGACGCACGAACAUUGCCUAUUGCGCUAAUUUAUUAUGCGUCAACGUCCGUAACCAUGCGCCGCCCGUACGCCGUCGGCAUGUCAUUUACGCGUCAUUUGAGCGCCGCACCAUGUGACUACCCGGGUAUAAAGCGCCCGUAGUUUUGAACAUUUAUCACUGGGAAAAUCCUUGCCACGGAGAUCGGACUAAGUACAAACAACAUCGCAAAUGGCUCCCCAAUGAAGCAGGGCCCUCAAGAGCACUUGGCGCGCGACUGGCGUACUGCUAGACGAGUUUCGCGUGAUUGUCGCCCGUCAGUCACUGCCGGCCUGUCACGUAAAUGACGCCAUAGGCCCUUAAGACUGAAGGUUAUGUGGAAAAGGC